rnacentral:rRNA from 1 species
GACGUAGGGUGCGAGCGUUGUCCGGAUUUAUUGGGCGUAAAGAGCUCGUAGGCGGCUUGUUGCGUCGACUGUGAAAACCCGCGGCUUAACCGCGGGCUUGCAGUUGAUACGGGCAGGCUAGAGUUCGGUAGGGGAGACUGGAAUUCCUGGUGUAGCGGUGAAAUGCGCAGAUAUCAGGAGGAACACCAGCGGCGAAGGCGGCGCUCUGGGCUGGAACUGACGCUGAGGAGCGAAAGCGUGGGGAGCGAACAGG